GAUGAACGCUGGCGGCGUGCCUAAUACAUGCAAGUCGAGCGAACAGACGAGGAGCUUGCUCCUCUGACGUUAGCGGCGGACGGGUGAGUAACACGUGGAUAACCUACCUAUAAGACUGGGAUAACUUCGGGAAACCGGAGCUAAUACCGGAUAAUAUAUUGAACCGCAUGGUUCAAUAGUGAAAGACGGUUUUGCUGUCACUUAUAGAUGGAUCCGCGCCGCAUUAGCUAGUUGGUAAGGUAACGGCUUACCGAGGCAACGAUGCGUAGCCGACCUGAGAGGGUGAUCGGCCACACUGGACCUGAGACACGGUCCAGACUCCUACGGGAGGCAGCAGUAGGGAAUCUUCCGCAAUGGGCGAAAGCCUGACGGAGCAACGCCGCGUGAGUGAUGAAGGUCUUCGGAUCGUAAAACUCUGUUAUUAGGGAAGAACAAAUGUGUAAGUAACUAUGCACGUCUUGACGGUACCUAAUCAGAAAGCCACGGCUAACUACGU
rnacentral:rRNA from 1 species